rnacentral:rRNA from 1 species
UGGGGGGAUUGCAAAUGUGGCGAAAGCCUGAUGCAGCCAUGCCGCGUGUAUGAAGAAGGCCUUCGGGUUGUAAAGUACUUUCAGUCGUGAGGAAGGGGGUAAGCUUAAUACGCUUAUCUCUUGACGUUAGCGACAGAAGAAGCACCGGCUAACUCCGUGCCAGCAGCCGCGGUAAUACGGAGGGUGCGAGCGUUAAUCGGAAUUACUGGGCGUAAAGCGCAUGCAGGUGGUUCAAUAAGUCAGAUGUGAAAGCCCGGGGCUCAACCUCGGAACUGCAUUUGAAACUGUUGGACUAGAGUACUGUAGAGGGGGGUAGAAUUUCAGGUGUAGCGGUGAAAUGCGUAGAGAUCUGAAGGAAUACCAGUGGCGAAGGCGGCCCCCUGGACAGAUACUGACACUCAGAUGCGAAAGCGUGGGGAGCAAACAGGAUUAGAUACCCUGGUAGUCCACGCCGUAAACGAUGUCUACUUGGAGGUUGUGGCCUUGAGCCGUGGCUUUCGGAGCUAACGCGUUAAGUAGACCGCCUGGGGAGUACGGUCGCAAGAUUAAAACUCAAAUGAAUUGACGGGGGCCCGCACAAGCGGUGGAGCAUGUGGUUUAAUUCGAUGCAACGCGAAGAACCUUACCUACUCUUGACAUCUAGAGAAGCCAGCGGAGACGCAGGUGUGCCUUCGGGAGCUCUAAGACAGGUGCUGCAUGGCUGUCGUCAGCUCGUGUUGUGAAAUGUUGGGUUAAGUCCCGCAACGAGCGCAACCCUUAUCCUUGUUUGCCAGCACGUAAUGUCGGGAACUCCAAUGAGACUGCCGGUGAUAAACCGGAGGAAGGUGGGGACGACGUCA